rnacentral:rRNA from 1 species
AGAUUAAGUUAUUAAGGGCGCACGGUGGAUGCCUUGGCACUAGAAGCCGAUGAAGGACGUUACUAACGACGAUAUGCUUUGGGUAGCUGUAAGUAAGCGUUGAUCCAGAGAUUUCCGAAUGGGGGAACCCAGCAUGAGUUAUGUCAUGUUAUCGACAUGUGAAUUCAUAGCAUGUCAGAAGGCAGACCCGGAGAACUGAAACAUCUUAGUACCCGGAGGAAGAGAAAGAAAAAUCGAUUCCCUGAGUAGCGGCGAGCGAAACGGGAAGAGCCCAAACCAACAAGCUUGCUUGUUGGGGUUGUAGGACACUCUAUACGGAGUUACAAAAGAACAUGUUAGACGAAUCAUCUGGAAAGAUGAAUCAAAGAAGGUAAUAAUCCUGUAGUCGAAAACAUAUUCUCUCUUGAGUGGAUCCUGAGUACGACGGAGCACGUGAAAUUCCGUCGGAAUCUGGGAGGACCAUCUCCUAAGGCUAAAUACUCUCUAGUGACCGAUAGUGAACCAGUACCGUGAGGGAAAGGUGAAAAGUACCCCGGAAGGGGAGUGAAAGAGAACUUGAAACCGUGUGCUUACAAGUAGUCAGAGCCCGUUAAUGGGUGAUGGCGUGCCUUUUGUAGAAUGAACCGGCGAGUUACGAUCUGAUGCAAGGUUAAGCAGCAAAUGUGGAGCCGCAGCGAAAGCGAGUCUGAAUAGGGCGUUGAGUAUUUGGUCGUAGACCCGAAACCAGGUGAUCUACCCUUGGUCAGGUUGAAGUUCAGGUAACACUGAAUGGAGGACCGAACCGACUUACGUUGAAAAGUGAGCGGAUGAACUGAGGGUAGCGGAGAAAUUCCAAUCGAACUUGGAGAUAGCUGGUUCUCUCCGAAAUAGCUUUAGGGCUAGCCUCAAGUGAUGAUUAUUGGAGGUAGAGCACUGUUUGGACGAGGGGCCCCUCUCGGGUUACCGAAUUCAGACAAACUCCGAAUGCCAAUUAAUUUAACUUGGGAGUCAGAACAUGGGUGAUAAGGUCCGUGUUCGAAAGGGAAACAGCCCAGACCACCAGCUAAGGUCCCAAAAUAUAUGUUAAGUGGAAAAGGAUGUGGCGUUGCCCAGACAACUAGGAUGUUGGCUUAGAAGCAGCCAUCCUUUAAAGAGUGCGUAAUAGCUCACUAGUCGAG